GUGCCAGCAGCCGCGGUAAUACGGAGGGUGCAAGCGUUGUCCGGAAUCAUUGGGUGUAAAGGGUGCGUAGGCGGAGCUUUAAGUCUGCGGUGAAAUCUUGCCGCUUAACGGUAAAAGUGCCGUGGAAACUAGAGCUCUUGAGUGUAGCAGAGGCCGGUGGAAUUCGUGGUGUAGCGGUGAAAUGCAUAGAUAUCACGAAGAACACCAGUGGCGAAAGCGGCCGGCUGGGCUACGACUGACGCUGAGGCACGAGAGCGUGGGGAGCGAACAGGAUUAGAUACCCUGGUAGUCCACGCUGUAAACGAUGUGCGCUAGAUGUUGGCCCUUCGGGGUCAGUGUCGCAGUUAACGCAUUAAGCGCACCACCUGGGGAGUACGUCCGCAAGGAUGAAACUCAAAGGAAUUGACGGGGGCCCGCACAAGCGGUGGAGCAUGUGGCUUAAUUCGAUGCAACGCGCAGAACCUUACC
rnacentral:rRNA from 1 species